rnacentral:rRNA from 1 species
GACGAACGCUGGCGGCGUGCUUAAUACAUGCCAGUCGAACGGAAAGGCCCUGCUUUUGUGGGGUGCUCGUGUGGCGAACGGGUGAGUAUCACGUGAGUAACCUGCCCUUGUCUUUGGGAUAACUUCAGGAAACUGGGGCUAAUACCGGAUAUGAGCUCUUUCUGCACGGUGUGGGUUGGAAAGUUUCGGCGGUUCGGGAUGGACUCGCGGCUUAUCAGCUUGUUGGUGGGGUAGUGGCUUACCAAGGCUUUGACGGGUAGCCGGCCUGGCAGGGUGACCGGGCACAAUGGGACUGAGAUACGGCCCAGAAUGAUACGGGAGGCAGCGGGGGAAAAUAUGGCGAAAUAGGCGGAAGCAUGAUGCAAAGACGUCGCGUGCGGAAAGACGGCUUUCGGGGUAUAAACCGCUUUCGACUGUAACGAAGAGGGAGUGACGGUAAUGGGUAAGGAAGCAACGGCUAACUACGUG